rnacentral:piRNA from 1 species
UCAGAACCAAGGUUUUUGACGACAUUGCA